UUCAACGCCUGCCCAUGUAAUUAUCUUUGACGUGACGUGGGGGGUUGUUGUUGUGUACGCGUCUCAUCAGUACAAUACAUGCCAAAAAUAACUAGUUAAACCUUUGCUUAUUACAGCCACGCACAGAUCACACACCCGCCGCCACCACGUGCUGCAGACACCCUGCUUCCCACUGACAAGUCUGUAGGUCAGCCAACAAAAGUAUGGGAUCUCCACCUUCUGGAGACAGCAGCGCUGGAGCUAUGCAUCCACCCACGAUGAUGCAGGGAAGAAGAGCUGCAAGAAAAACAAGACCGAGCUUCCAUCAGCCUGUGCCUGAGGUCCUGCCCUCCACCUGCCUUACCAUCCGGAUCGGGACUGGAGCCAGCCCUGUCAUGCACCGGUGCCAGGGAUAAAGCUUCAGGAUAUGGAUUUGUCCUCCAUGUAACCUACCCGGAAUCAGGCUUUGGAAGGGAGCCAAGCCCUUUUUGUCACAGCCGGUGGCCCUUUUAUAUUCGGUUCCCUUGUUUUCUCAGUUAUAAUUUGGGAGUCCUUAUAGUUACCUACCUGUUACUUACCUGAGUGUGACAGACCCAGAGCAGUGAGGUACAGAAGUCUGGUAGAAGGCAAAUAUAUUGGCCACUGGAUGAACAGUUUUCUGUUCCCUGAGUGACCAGAGCAGGGGCUGCGCUAGAGCAAUCAAGAACCUGCUAGAACCAAUUAAGACAGGCAAGCUAAUUAAGACACCUGGCGCCAAUUAAGAACAUGCUAGACUCAGUUAUGGCAGGCAGACUAAUCAGGACACCUGGUUUAAGAAGGACCUCCCAUCAGUUAGGGGCGGGUGUGCAAGGAGCAGGGAGUGAGAAGGCGUGCUGCUGGAGGAUGGAGGAGUACAAGCGUGAUCAGGCUUCAGGAGGAAGAUCCUGCAGUGAGGGUAAAGAAGGUGUCGGGAGGAGGCCAUGGGGAAGUAGCCCAGGAAGUUGUAGCUGUCGCACAGCUGUUACAAGAAGACACUGUAGACAGUUGCAAUCCACAGGGCCCUGGGCUGGAACCCGGAGUAGAGGGUGGGCCUGGGUUCCCCCCAUUCCCCUCAACUCCCGAUUGGAGACAAGAGGAGGUGACCUGGACUGUGGGUCCCACCAGAGGGGAAGGUCCCUGGCCUAUCCCGCCACCCAGUAGGUGGGUCAGCAGAGACUGCAGGGAUUGUUCUCCUCCCUUUCCUCAUGCUGGCCAGUGAUGAGGUUAGCUGAGUGAAUGGCAGGUUUGAGCCACUAGCAAAAUUGGCCAAACUGAGGGCGGCCGUGAAUCUCUGAGGCAAGCAAAUACGUCAAUAAGUGCAGGACCUACCAAGGCAGAGGAGGAACUUUGUCACAUGAAUUAGUCUUACCCUUAUUCCAAUCAACCUGUUCUUGUUUUGCACCCUAUCCGUUAUCAGUUUUUCCUCUGGGGGUAGUAAGACCCUGAUGAUAGACUUGGGAGGGAGGAGACGUUCCUGAGACUUGUCCUCUGGCCAAGUAUAAAAUCCAGUCAACACUACGUACACCUAUUGAACUGUCAUGGUACAUUUGGAACAGUUCUAAGGCUUCCUUUUUGGUGUACACAACUUUCAACUUUUUACCUUAAGGAAAAGUUCCCUUUCUGCUACCCACAAAAGAUUAAGAUGUAAUGAUGACAUAUAUUAUUGCAGUUUAAAAAUAUUACUUAGUUUUAAGAGAUUAUGUACAUAAGAAGUUAUACAUCCAUAUAAGCCUUAAGGGCUUGAUUAUUAAGACUAAAACCUUAUUGUGUGGAUUGUGCUCCUAAUUCCACUGAUGUUAAUUUUACAAUGCCAGAUAACUUCAGUGGUUAAUGAACAGGCCCAUCAUCUAUAUGCUGAAGAUUUAAUUAUAUUUUGCAAUUGAAACAAUUAAAAAUUAUGUCUCGCCUUCCAAUGAAAGUCAGCGGAAUAUUGACGCAAGCUAAGGUUCUGUUUUUUAUUCAUGAUUUCAAAAUGUAUGUUAUUCUUUUUGUAUUGCAAAGCCUGCACAGUUCGAUCCUCAACAGAUUUCCCUACGUAUUUGUCACAGAAGAUAUUUCAUGUAUUAUUGACAUAUUUUGAUAAUUGCAAAGAUAGAAUAUCUAUACACAUAGUAAGCAGACUCUUUUCAGACACGUGAUCAUAAUAAGGCACACUGAACAAUACAGUAUUCACAGGGCAUGCCAAUGCUACCAAAGGGAUAUUAGAGCUAUGUUCCUAAAUGAAAAUAAAGUGUUAUUUGAAUUAAUGAGCUCACAUAUGAAAUUACCAAAGUGCACAAAUAAUUACUGGGAGCAUGAAAUGUAACAGCACAAGGACAGUAAGAAAUGUUAAAAAAAAAUCAUAGUGUAACUUGUCAAAACCACAGAGUAUGAUGUAAAUCAGUAGAAUCUGCAAAAAAGAAAUUUAGAGCAGACAUACAGGAUAAUAUCAUGACAAGAAAAGGCAGGAAAUAUCUUUAAAAAGAAAAAAUGGCUGGAGGGUUUUUUUAUUCCUUCAGCAGUCAUGCAAGUUAAACCUGAUGUAAUCGUGGGUGCAAGUGUAACUUUCUGGGAACUGAGGAGUUAAUAUUGAUAGGUGCACAGACUGUUUACAGAAAAGUUAUGUAUGUAUAGCAAUUAGGAAACACUCCCUUUUUCCUGCACCUUAGCUUAACUCUUUGCUGAAAGACAGGCGAGAGUUCUUUAUUUCCAGAAAUAAGUCAGGGCUAUUAUAUGGGGAUACCCUAAAUUACUGUGUUAACAGUUCCAAGUGAGCUUCAGAGAGUGAUCACUCUGGGCAAGGUCCACAGUACCAACUUUUGACAGUAUUAUAAUGUCAAGGGUGUGAUUUUUUUAUGACACUUUAAUACCAGCAACCCCUUUCUAGUGUAGACUAUGCCUCAGUUUCUUAGUAAACAGCUUGCAUCUCAGCUCAGUGUGCACCAAGGGUGACCACCCAGUAAAUGUGAAUGAUCAGGAUGAGGGUGGGGGUAAUAGGCACUGAUAUAAGGCAAAGCCCUGAAUAUCGAGACUGUCCCUAUAAAUUGGGACAUCUGGUCACCUGUGUGCAUUGGUGGGAUUCAAGGUCUCUGGUUGGGGGUGAAGGUUUAGGUCACCUCCAGAGGUGGGGGAAGGGAUUGUCCUAUUGUUUCACAGUUGUUAAAUUCUCCUAAGCUUCUCAUCCCCAUUUUGGCUGAUUGGUUUG